AAGGUGCAUCUCUCUGAUAAAUAAGCAAAUAUCUUACAGAUUAUGUGGGGAUAAUGUAACAUUUGAAAUUUGUUUCAGCAUAAAAGGCACAUGUCAAAUUUCUUUAAAAUGGUUUCUAAGGUAACUCCAUUUCAGGAAAUGACAUCAUCACCCUAUUUUCAUACAGCACCCUAAGUUCAUACAAAAGCAGUGUGAAACCUGAAAGACAGCUUUACACCAAGGUAGACUUUUCUUUUUUUUCAUCGGAUGAAUGAUGUUUUUAUACGUUUAUAUUGUCCUCCUCUUAAAGAUGCCAGCAGCAGUUCUGGGAGUGAGUGUGGAUCAAGGUCCAAAGGCUGUGGCUAAAGCAGAGGGCAAAACCGUGAAUCUGCCCUGCAAAGCGACCGGUGUGGGCUCUUCAGAUUAUAUCCACUGGUACCAAAUAAAAGACGACAAAGCCCCGUCAAGACUGCUCUAUAUCAGUAAAGAGGGUGUUGUCACUCGUGAUAGCAACAAUCCCCAAGCAAGUGAUUUCACAGUGGACAAAACAAAGCUUUAUAAUCUAAAACUGAGUGACAGUAAGAAGAGUCACAGUGCCGUUUACUUCUGCGCUUACUGGGAGAGGGACUCAAGCGGCAGCACAGUGAGAACAUUUACUCACAUCCUGUACAUGAACUACACUGGUAAAUAAUUGAUGAAUGACAUAUUUAUAUACUUUAAUAUUUAUUUACCUGUCACUUUCUGUUUAAGUUCUCAAUUUGAAUUAAGCUGCAUAUGCAGAAUAACUGGAUGAAGGUAUUUGGAUCCGUUCAGAUCUGAACUUUAUUGUCCUGCUGUUCAUUAUGAGGUUAUUUGUACACACUGUAUUAUUGUGAUUUUGGA